CUUGCCAUACAGGUUUAAAGGUAGCCACGCAUGCUUUCAUAUCUGCAUACUCUGUAUCUGUCCAUUUCCCCCUAAUCUCCUUAGCCGUGGGAGCUUUUAUUCCUUCACUUGCUUCUGCUGCUGCAUCAAUUACCACCUGCCAAUUUGGAGAAUUGGCCGCGUUAGGAGGUAUGUUGACAUGUAUAAAUAACUUUGCUGCUGCUCUACCUAAUUUCUCAACGGAAGUUCUACUCCACAUUUGUUUUAUCUUCUUUUGUUUAGUUGAUUCUUUCCUAAACAGGAUUGGAUCAAUAGAGGGUCUCCUAGGCUCAUUUACUUUUUCAUCAAAACGUAUAGGGGCAUCAAGUGAAGAUGUCUGUCGUCGGCUCCCAAACACACGUCGUAACCCACCAAACCUACUCCCCCCCCCCCCGUAUCACGCACUGACCCAUGCGUGCCAAACAUGCGGCGACGUUCUUCUUCUUCACGAGCUAGACGCAAGCUCUCUCUCCUAGCUAUAGUUAAUUCCCGAUCUGAAUCUUCGUCAAAAUCAAUAAUAUCUUCAUCACGAACGCCCAUAUAUUCAGGACCAAACACCUCCUGUCGAGCUGCAUCCAAAAUAUCAUCUUUCUUCUUUUGUACAGCAGUACGUUUACCCUUCGACUCAUCUAGACUAGCUUGCAUUAAAAGUAUUAUCUUUUUCGGUACUUCACUACAUGGCGCAACUUGACCCUUUCGAUGUGCCAAAUGUUGUUUGAGACGGGUAAUUCCACCAGUCACUAGUCUAUCACAAUACUUGCACUUCAUUUGGUGCCUAGUACCACCAACCCUCUCACAAUGUUGCCAUCCAAUAUCCUCACUUGUUGUUGUUCGGACCCAGACAUUUCUUUAGGUUUAGGUAGAUACUAGAUAAUUAGAUAUGAGUAUGAGUGUAUGACCUAUGUUAAUAAAGAUGAUUUUAUGUUCCAAGUUCUAACUAAACCCUAAGAAGCUCCAAAACCUGUCCAAUAUAAGCAAAUAAAAACAUAAAGUCACUAAUUCGAAAAUAGAAAAAAAUUAUAAAAUGACACCACAAAUCUGUAAUAUGCAUAUUAACAUGUUCUACUAUAAUUAACACAUCAAAUUCUAUGAUUAAAUCAACAAACUAUUCAUUAAAAAAUGAUUUUUCGAAUUU